GCCGCCUUCGCCCGCGCGCUGCACUCGCGGACGAUCUCUGCUCGCCUUGGGCGCGCCGUGGCGCGCGGGGCCGUGCUGGCGCUGCGGCUCCUCGGCCUGCUCCGCCGUCUGGUGGCCGCCCCGGGCUGACUUUGACUUAGCGAUGCCUUUCCUGAUGGAGGAAACAGUGACCCAGCACCACCUAAUGCCCCCAAACCAAAGCCAGAUCCAAACCCCAACCGACCUGGUUUCACUGGUGACCCAGCACCACCUAAUCCCCCCAAACCAAAGCCAGAUCCAAAUCCCAACUGACCUGGUUUCACUGAUAAGAGCCUCUAACCCUACGGGGUGGUCUCUAUGUUGUUUACCUGGCAGUGAUGUCCGUGUCAUCUGAGAAGAGGAGAUUUCAGGGGCUGACUUUGACUUAGCAGAUGCCUUUCGUGAUGGAGGAAAUAACGACCCAGCACCUCUUAAUUCACCCAAGCUGAAGCCAAAUGCGAACCCUGAGCAGCCUGGAUUCAUUGACGAGCCAGCACCACUGAACCCACCCAAACCAAAGCCAAAUCCAAACCCCAAGCAGCCUGAUUCCACCGGGGAUGACUUUGAUUUCACAGAUGUUUCUUCAUGGUGAACGAAACAGGGAGUUGCCUCGAUUCUGAUGUGUUUGCUUCGGUGCUCUGUGUAUUGUAUUCAUCCCACUCUUCAAUUCAUAAACUCUGGAGAUUCUUCAAUUCACUGGGCAAACCAUAUGCCUAAGUCUAUCCUCUGAUGGAGGCUCGUACAUGCAAAAUCCAAUAGCAACCUGGGAAGAUUUCAGUCAAGACCCAAGAGGAGGCUGGCAUCAGGCUCUCGGUCACCGAUCUUCACAUUCAGGUUUCCUGAUGCACUUUGCGACUCUUUGGGCAACCUCUGGACUCCUUGUUCCCAGGGUCCACAUUUAGUUUUAUCUUUACUGCAUUGCUUUUAUGAAAAAGAAUAAAAUUGGAUGAAACAGAUACAGAGUAUUGGUGUCAACCUAAGUAUUGGUGUCAACAAAGAGAUGGUUUGGAUCUGGUUCCCCACCACAUCUUAGGUUGAGUUGGAAUCCCC
rnacentral:lncRNA from 1 species